rnacentral:rRNA from 1 species
UAGGAAUUGGCGGGGGAGCACAACAACGGGUGGAGCCUGCGGUUUAAUUGGACUCAACGCCGGACAACUCACCGGGGACGACAGCAAUAUGUAGGUCAGGCUGAAGACCUUACCUGAAUCGCUGAGAGGAGGUGCAUGGCCGUCGCCAGUUCGUACUGUGAAGCAUCCUGUUAAGUCAGGCAACGAGCGAGACCCGUGCCCACUGUUACCAGCAUAUCCUCCGGGAUGAUGGGUACUCUGUGGGGACCGCCGGUGUUAAAUCGGAGGAAGGUGCGGGCCACGGUAGGUCAGUAUGCCCCGAAUUUCCCGGGCUACACGCGGGCUACAAUGAAUGGGACAAUGGGUCCCUCCCCUGAAAAGGGCUGGUAAUCUCACAAACACAUCCUUAGUUCGGAUCGAGGGCUGUAACUCGCCCUCGUGAAGCUGGAAUCCGUAGUAAUCGCGUUUCAAUAUAGCGCGGUGAAUACGUCCCUGCUCCUUGUACACACCGCCCGUC